UUUGUAUUCAGUUUAUAUACCGUUGUUAUUAAAUAUUUUAUUAGAAAAUUAAUAUUUAAGAGAUUUUAUAAAAUAGUAUAUCAGAUCAAGGUGUAGUUUAUAUUUAAGAAGUAAUGGGUUACAAUAAAAAAAUUUUUGGAAAUAUAAUUGUAAUAAUAAAUUGAAAAUGGAUUUGAUUGUAAAAU
rnacentral:rRNA from 1 species